AAUAGCCGAGUCUCCCUCUACCACAUCUGGCCUAACAAUCCACAAAAAUGGGUGCUUGCUAUUUGCAAGCCCCCAUGCGAAUUCUUUCAGAUGCUGAUCUGUCAUUGUAGUUACGCUCCCAUAAUUUACAUACACAACUGAACUAGGUUUCUUCUGAUCAAGCCAUUUAAAACAAUCUGUGUCUGCUUUCCAUAAGUUUGAGCUAAGAGACUCGACCAAUUUGGUUUCGGUUUCAGGCAAUUGCCUCUCAAGCAACUUAAGGGGGCCAAUGGUGUAGAUGUUAGGGAACAUGGACGAUAUUACCUCUAACACUUCAUGUUCAAAUUCAUCAUAUGUGUUGAAGAUGAUUGCAGAAGACUUCAAACAGUUUCGUGCUUCGGAUCCCAAGAAAUCGAACAUUAUGUCGUUGACAUCUGUGACUCUGAUGAAGCUGGGGAUAUCCCUGAGCCGAGCAUUUUUCAUGCCUGGGACCCAAUCAAUUGGUGUAUCCAGUGUACCAUCAUGCAGGAAAGUCUCAUCUGAAAUAUGUAUGGAAGAUAAAUAAUAUGUUUUCGGCACUUGUUAGCGAGAGUGAGCAUUUACAAUUCAUCCAAGUUCAAAAUGCAAGUCCCCCACAAUAAUUGGAGUAGUUUUGUCUGGUUUCUGUUGUUUAUUAUUCAUUCUGCUCAGAUUCUCUUUUGUGCAUUGGUUACAACGAUGAUGUUUUAGCUUUUUGCUGAUUUUUCUUGUUUUUUUCCCUUUUUCUGUUUUGUUUGUCCCGUUAAAAAAACAGAGAGAUGCACCCUGUUUGGUUUCUCUUGUUUAUUAUUAUUAUUCUGUCCUGUUUGUCGUGGGUGCAAGUUUAAUAUGCACUUCCUCUUUCUGAGAAAUUUAUUUAUAUAAUCACGAGGUUAAUCAGGGGAUAUAAUAAGCGCAUAGCUAUUAAUUACUUUAUAAUAUAAACUAUAUAUUCUCACUCACCCAUUUUAUAACAAAAUUUCUUAACUGGACCUAACUUUCCGAACAAAAUAAUUAUUUAUUUUGGAUUCUAACUCCUAUAUUUAAUUCCCCCUCCAUCAAUAUCGUUUUGCAUAAAUAAAUAAAAAAUAUGUAUUUUUAUAUUGAACAAAGAAAUUAUGUCUAUGUUAUCAUGCAUACGAAAUUAACAGUGAAUGAUUUUCAACAUGCUUAUGUAUCACAUAAACUAAUACCAUAUAUGAUUUUCUUAUAGAAGAAUUAAUUUAUAUUUAUUAAAAAGAUUUAUAUUGUAGAAUAUAUAUAAUCUUGAAAGAAGUUAAAAGAUUAGUCUUUUGACAAAAGCUAAAAGCAGAUGUGCUUGGAAUAUUAUCGUGGGAUUGAAUGAUUCAACCUCAAGUCAAGUGCUUGUAAUAAUUAAGUUAAGGAAGUAUACCUUUGAAUGGAACAACGCCUCGCUUGACGAGCUCACUGUAUUGCAAGUAACCCACGAAGCCACAAGCAGAGGCAGUCCAAAACUGGACCUCCGGAAUGCCUAACUCCUGAGCAGCUUGCCUCCCAAAUCCCGUGACACCAUCUGCAACUAUACAAGUAACUUGUGGCACUUGAGAUGAGGAGUUGAUCUUAGUGACCAGCUCUUUGAAUGGACCUAGACAGGUUUUCCUGGUGGAGUCGCAUAUGGCUGGAACAUCUUGGGUUGCAUCCUUAUCCGAAGGAGGCAGCCCGUCCGGUAUGGUCUCGAACUGGAAGUCGGGCAAGCCCUUGACAGAGUCCGGGCCUUUGGACCGGAUUAGGCGCCUGUGGUUGAACUCUGUGUUAACAAAGGUUAUGUGGAAGCCUCUUGAGUGAAGAAGCUUAGCUAAUUGCAUCAUGGGGUUAACAUGGCCUUGAGCUGGGAAAGGGACACAAACCGCAUGUAGUUUUUUGGUUGCUUCUCCUAUUGAACCCAUCUCUCUUUACCAAUAUAAGCAAGGCCUGUGUGGUGAAACCCAACUUUGCUCGUGUCAUUUAUAGAAAAUGUGCCAAGCCUUGCCUCUUCGGCACUUGAUACUGACAUUGGAGUCACUUUGGUCAAAACAAAACAAAAAUUACAGUUUACUAAUAUACAAGUGAUGUGUCAGUAACAAUAAAAUUGCCCAUUUCACCAGAUCAUCACAUGGGCUGACAUGGGAUAGGUAGAAACACGUAUGAUUUACCUUGCCCUUGCUGCAGGGCCGCCCCUGCCUACCAAUGGACACCAGUGCGUGUAAGAGCUCGUUUGUUAUUUUCUUUUCUAUGCCGCUAGCUUUGAACAGAUGAAUGACCCCGGCAACAUUAGAGGAGUAAUUAAUUUUACAUCAUUGUCAUUGAAGGGCACGUUUUCUUACUAAGAAUAUAAAUAUUGUAGUCCUGCGAUUUUGAGAAUCAUAAAAUAUAAAUAUUAUAGCUACAUAAAGUACGGCCGUUCCUGCGAUUCUGAGAAUCAUAAACAACAAACGAAUACAACGAGGCCCUUAUUUUCAAAUUUGUUUACUUAACACAGAGAACAAUAUCGUGUACACAAAAAAUAAAGAACAAUAUCAUGCAUUGACGAACACAACACAACACAACACAAUGCUUACUUGUUUUAGUCUUCGGUGCGCACUAAGAGGAACAAACACGUGGGGAAGAAAAAAGAACAAAAGGACAAUUGCAUUGUUUGUUUGUUGUGCUUGCAAACAAAUCCGCAACAAUCAACACAACAAUAAUACAUGCGGGUUAAUCUGGCAGAGAGGGUUAGUCAAAUACGUGUGGGAAUUUUGGAUUUCCUUUUUGGGAGUUUAUAUUCUACUUUAUGCGAUAUUUGGGUAAUGGGUUUAUUAAAUAUGUUAGGCAAUUUUUGUUUCAGCUAGUCUAGUUGGAAUUUUUGUUAGGCCAAACCGAUGAAACCGAUUGGUUUAAAUUGUAAUUAUUGGUUUGGUUUGAUUUUGAUAAAAAAAAAAUGUCAAACGGUUUAAAAAUCGAAUCGGACCAUAUAUGAUUUGGUUUGAUUUGAUUUUGAAUUUUUGUGUUUUUAUAGAUUUUACCUUGGUUGGAAUAAAUGUGAGCUAAAAAUGCAUUAUUAAUCAAUAUAAAAUAUGUUUUUGCUCAUUUUCGUAGGUUGACUUCCUGGUCUUGGUCAGAAUGUUCCGGUGCUCAGAUGUGGUGAAACUCUUCAUGACACUUGUUCCAAUGGGUUUUGACUACAACAUAUCCAAAAGUUAGCUCCAUUGAAAAAGUAUUACCUCCCCAACUGAUCCAACAUUGAUACUAAUUCUGAAAAUCUAUUUUGGGUCACUUUUACCCUUCUUUUGGUAUCAUCUCCCUUUCUAAUUGUUACCAGACCUCUUGGUAACAAUUAAUUACGUUGUAGAGAUUUGAUUUCAGAUUGGUAAUAAAUUAGAAUCUCUCUCUAUGUAUUAAAACCAAAAUAAAAUGAUGGAAGUGAAGAAAAGUGGAGCAUAUGCCAAACACUUUGGGAAAAAGGUAAAGUAUCCUAUGGACCAGAACUGAACCUCUGGAAUGCUUACUUCCACCGCAGCUCUGCUCCCAAACCCCGUGACCCCAUCUGAAAUUAUGCAAGUAACUGGGGGCAUUUCAGACAAUUCACCAAGCUUAACCAGAAGCUCUUUGAAGGGACCAAGACAGUUUUUUCUGAUGGAAUCACUGAGUGCAGGAACAUCUUGGGUAGCAUCUGUGUCAGAUUGUGGAAGCCCAUCUGGUAUGGCCUCAAAUCUAAAGCCAGGUAAGCCCAUAAGAGCAUCUCCACCCAUAAGGGCUAAGUCUAGGGCAAGGGCAAGCAAGGGCUGCCACUAUUCACAUGAAUAGUGUCAGCCUUGCUAUUUGUGGUUCCAUCCAUGAGGGCUAAGUCUAAGGCAAUUACUAUUCACUUAAAUUUAUUUUUUAUUUUUUAUACUUAAACCAUUGAUUUUGAUAAGCUUUUCGGAUAAGAUUUUCGUUUCUCAAGUGUUAAUAUUUAUCGUAAAAUUCUCACCUAAAAAUCAAGAUAAUAUUUUCGGAUAAAAUUUUGAAAUUAAAAUUGGUGUGGAAAGUGAAUAAUAUUGGUAGGUAUGUAUAGAAAAAAUUUCCAGAAUUUUUUGAUAUUUUUUUAAAAAAAUUUUGAUAUUUUUUUCAAUUUUUUUUAGCCAAAAAUUGGACAACCGUUGGAUUGUGCAAGAUUUUAUGAUCAGAGGCUCUUGGAGAAGCCACAUGGCUUGUAAUCAUUGGGCAAUGUGGGCUGGUGGGUCCAACAGUAAAAAAAAAAUUGAAAAUCAGCUGCUGACGUCAUGCUGACGUCAGCAGCCCGAGGGCAACAGCCCAGUCAAUUUCUGCCUGUGGGCUUGCUCGGGCUGGUGGGUCCCAUGCUUUGCCUGAGCUGGAUUUCCUGCGCUGGAGCCAUAUUGGGCUUGCCAGGGGGCCUUUUGCCCAGUUUGAUAGCAGCGGUGGAGCUGCUCUAAGGGAUGAUGGGUGCCCUUGAGACCUGAUGAUACGCCUGUGGUUGAACUCAGGGUUGUCAAAGGCCCUUUGAGUGUAGGAGCUUGGCUAAUUGCAUCAUAGGGCUAACAUGCCCUUGUGAAGGGUAGGGGACACAAACUUCAUGGGGUUGUGUUCUUCCUCCAACUGGAACCAUCUUUUGCUAAAUUUACUUGGCAAGAGGAAAAAGCGGCAACCGAUCUAAUAUUGUUAUCAUGGCUUCCUUUAUUAUAUUUUUACCAACUAUAAGUUGGCCUUCCAGUCCUUUGGUCUUAUUUAUUUAUUUUUUUUAAUUUUAUAAAUAUUUGGAAUACAUCCAGUCAUUUUGUCUUAGUGAUCAUAUCUCAUCAUUUUCAUUAGCUUUUGUGUUUUUUUUUAUAAGGUUUCUAAAUCUUAAAAACCGAUUUUGGGGUUUGGAGUCCAAUUCUACUUUUAAGUUUAAAAAAUUGUAUUCAAAUAGAAUACCAAACGGGCCUUUAAAUAGAAUACCAAACGAGCCCUUAGCUUUUGAAAUACUUCGAAAUCUAAAAUAGAGAUCUGCCCAAUACAUAAUCAACAGGUAAUUCGAAUAUCAAUAUAUGUAUGCAUUUGCAACAAACUGUAGAAGGCUGAACGGAAAUAUUAAUUUUAUUUAGAAGCCCAGUCUGCUUGGAAACUGUAACAGAGUUGGGCUACAAACAACUAGAGAAACAACUGACGUCCAAAUAAAACAUAAACAUUAUUACAGCACUUGAACAUAUAUAUAUAUAUAUAUAUAUUUGGGAGUUCUUGACAAGGAAACAUAUUUGUUCCCCAUUGUAGCAGUCAUCCACCUUAAUGGAGAGACUUAAUCAAUCUAUCAAAAUUAUUGUACGAUGAUCCUCCAAUAUCAGUAGCUUGUACAGCUUUUUUCUUCCAUUCUUUUGCCUUUUGCCUCAUCUUCAUCCCCUUUUCUCCUUCAAGAAUCUCCUUAACAAGCACUUCGAUUUCGUCACGCUUCACAUCGGGGCUCACUUCCAUUCCAAUCCCCCAUUCAGUGCAUGCGUAUCGACAAUUCGUGUGUUGAUCAGCAAAGAAAGGCCAGCAAAUUACUGGCACGCCUUCGGAUACACUUUCAAGAGUAGAGUUCCAGCCAGUGUGUGUUAAAAAAGCCCCAACAGAUGGAUGAGCUAGCACUUGGUCCUGUGGACACCAGCUUGCUAUAUAACCCCUUUCCUUAAUCUCCUCAAAAAAUUCAUUGGGUAAAAUAGCUGAGUCUCCCUCUACCACAUCAGGCCUAACAAUCCACAAAAAUGGGUGCUUGCUAUUUGCAAGCCCCCAUGCGAAUUCUUUCAGAUGCUGAUCUGUCAUUGUAGUUAUGCUCCCAUAAUUUACAUACACAACUGAACUAGGUUUCUUCUGAUCAAGCCAUUUCAAACAUUCUGUGUCUUCUUUCCAUAAGUUUGAGCUAAGAGACUCGACCAAUUUGGUUUCCGUUUUAGACAAAUGCCUCUCAAGCAACUUAAGGGGGCCAAUGGUGUAGAUGUUAGGGAAUAUGG
rnacentral:lncRNA from 1 species